GGAAUCUUGCACAAUGGGGGAAACCCUGAUGCAGCGACGCCGCGUGAGCGAUGAAGCCCUUCGGGGUGUAAAGCUCUUUCGGCAGGGACGAUGGUGACGGUACCUGCAGAAGAAGCUGCGGCUAACUACGUGCCAGCAGCCGCGGUAAUACGUAGGCAGCAAGCGUUGUUCGGAAUUACUGGGCGUAAAGCGAGUGUAGGCGGUUUGCCGUGUCUGCCGUGAAAUCUCCCGGCUCAACUGGGAGGGUGCGGCGGAAACUGGCAGGCUAGAGUGCGGAAGAGGAAAGUGGAAUUCCUGGUGUAGCGGUGAAAUGCGUAGAUAUCAGGAGGAACACCGGUGGUGAAGACGGCUUUCUGGACCGCAACUGACGCUGAGACUCGAAAGCGUGGGGAGCAAAC
rnacentral:rRNA from 1 species